UUUUUAGCAUAAAUAUGUUCCAUGCCAUAUUUGGGACAUACUUAUACUAAAA
rnacentral:pre_miRNA from 1 species